UCCAAUGAUGGUAAUGUAAUCUUUGAGACCUGAUUAUUUCUUGAUGAGAGCUAUAAGCAUUUUCUGAGGAU